rnacentral:rRNA from 1 species
AUUGAACGCUGGCGGCAUGCCUAACACAUGCAAGUCGAACGAGUGGCGGACGGGUGAGUAAUGUCUGGGAAACUGCCUGAUGGAGGGGGAUAACUGCUGGCAACGGUAGAUAAUACCGCAUACUACCAGAUGUGCCCAGAUGGGAUUAGCUUGUUGGUGGGGUAACGGCGGACCAAGGCGACGAUCCCUAGCUGGCCUGAGAGGAUGACCAGCCACACUGGGACUGAGACACGGUCCAGACUCCUACGGGAGGCAGCAGUGGGGAAUAUUGCACAAUGGGCGCAAGCCUGAUGCAGCCAUGCCGCGUGUAUGAAGAAGGCCUUCGGGUUGUAAAGUACUUUCAGUGGGGAGGCGUUACCCGCAGAAGAAGCGCCGGCUAACUCCGUGCCAGCAGCCGCGGGAAUAC